rnacentral:rRNA from 1 species
AUGCAAGCCGAGCGGUAUUUGUCUUUCGGGACAGAGAGAGCGGCGUACGGGUGCGGAACACGUGUGCAACCUGCCUUUAUCUGGGGGAUAGCCUUUCGAAAGGAAGAUUAAUACCCCAUAAUAUAUUGACUGGCAUCAGUUGAUAUUGAAAACUCCGGUGGAUAGAGAUGGGCACGCGCAAGAUUAGAUAGUUGGUGAGGUAACGGCUCACCAAGUCUACGAUCUUUAGGGGGCCUGAGAGGGUGAUCCCCCACACUGGUACUGAGACACGGACCAGACUCCUACGGGAGGCAGCAGUGAGGAAUAUUGGACAAUGGGUGCAAGCCUGAUCCAGCCAUCCCGCGUGAAGGAUGACGGCCCUAUGGGUUGUAAACUUCUUUUGUAUAGGGAUAAACCUAGAUACGUGUAUCUAGCUGAAGGUACUAUACGAAUAAGCACCGGCUAACUCCGUGCCAGCAGCCGCGGUAAUACGGAGGGUGCAAGCGUUAUCCGGAUUUAUUGGGUUUAAAGGGUCCGUAGGCUGAUGUGUAAGUCAGUGGUGAAAUCUCACAGCUUAACUGUGAAACUGCCAUUGAUACUGCAUGUCUUGAGUGUUGUUGAAGUAGCUGGAAUAAGUAGUGUAGCGGUGAAAUGCAUAGAUAUUACUUAGAACACCAAUUGCGAAGGCAGGUUACUAAGCAACAACUGACGCUGAUGGACGAAAGCGUGGGGAGCGAACAGGAUUAGAUACCCUGGUAGUCCACGCCGUAAACGAUGCUAACUCGUUUUUGGAUUUUCGGAUUCAGAGACUAAGCGAAAGUGAUAAGUUAGCCACCUGGGGAGUACGUUCGCAAGAAUGAAACUCAAAG